rnacentral:rRNA from 1 species
GACGAACGCUGGCGGCGUGCCUAAUACAUGCAAGUCGAACGAACCGCGACUAGGUGCUUGCACUUGGUCAAGGUGAGUGGCGAACGGGUGAGUAACACGUGGGUAACCUACCUCAUAGUGGGGGAUAACAGUCGGAAACGACUGCUAAUACCGCAUAGGACAUAGGAUCACAUGAUUCUGUGAGGAAAGGUGGCGCAAGCUAUCGCUAAGAGAUGGACCCGCGGUGCAUUAGCUAGUUGGUAGGGUAAAGGCCUACCAAGGCGAUGAUGCAUAGCCGACCUGAGAGGGUGAUCGGCCACAUUGGGACUGAGACGCGGCCCAAACUCCUACGGGAGGCAGCAGUAGGGAAUCUUCCGCAAUGGACGCAAGUCUGACGGAGCAACGCCGCGUGAGUGAAGAAGGUCUUCGGAUCGUAAAGCUCUGUUGUUAGAGAAGAACAGCGCAUAGAGUAACUGUUAUGCGUGUGACGGUAUCUAACCAGAAAGCCACGGCUAACUACGUG